rnacentral:ncRNA from 1 species
GAAUGAGUACAACUUAAAUCCCUUAACGAGGAACAAUUGGAGGGCAAGUCUGGUGCCAGCAGCCGCGGUAAUUCCGGAUUUAAGUUGUACUCAUUCCAAUUACAGGAUCAAAAAGAGGGCAAGUCUGGUGCCAGCAGCCGCGGUAAUUCCAGCUCCAAUAGCGUAUAUU